AAAAAAGGUCCUAAAAAGAGAUGAUAUGCUAAAAAUCCCAUAAAGUCGUUAUGGAAUAAGAUUCAUUGGUGUUAAAUUAUAUAUAUCGGGUAUGCAUGCUAGUUGAUUUUCAAACAUUUUAAGCAAAUUAGACGUAAUAUAUCUACUUUUUCAAAAUAUUUAACCGAAAGUAAUGGUUAAGGCUCGAUAAAAACAUAUUACAUUCAAUUGUCUUUGUUUUUUG